UUUGCAUUUUCUUUUCAUACUGAGGAAAAAUACAAUUUUGGUGUUUGAUAGGUAAAGCAUAAAUGACAGAUGAUCAGUUCCAUUGUCCUUUCUCUUUUAGAUGUUUUUAUCUUAGUAUUAAUAUACAGUCUAUGAUAUACUCUAUUCUUGACUCAUAAUUCAACAAAAUAUGCAAAAAAUGGUGUGUAUCAUAAUCAGCAAACAAAUUGAGCAUGUAGCACUGGUUAUUUUUUGUCCAGUCUACAUAGCGCAAAGGCACAUUUAAGCUGCGCGCUCUCACAAGGAUCCUAUUUAAAAUUUUAAAGAUCAUGAUGAAUCGGUUGAACUGAAAGCUUGAGGACAACGUUACACUGGUAAGAGAGAAAUAUAAAUUAAUUUAUUGAUUCAUUUUAUGUCAUUUUUAUUAAUUUUGACCUAACUUCCUUGUCAUUUAUGACUUACAUGUUUAUUUCAGCAAGCACAAAGAAUACAUUUUGACAAAACGUUUCGUCCAGGCUUGCAAUAUUCUCCACCAGGAGGAAAGUAAUUUCAAAUUGAAUCACUAAAAUCUCUGUUGUGGAUUGACAAGUAAUCCUGAUACCAUGUUAUGUUAUAAUUAAAUUUUCUUUGCAUAUAGAAAACAUGGGGAAAAAUGAAACAAGUUUCCAGGAGCACAUCACAGCAUUGAAUUAAUCCAACUACACUGAUAUAAAGAAAUUAAUCAAACUUUAUUAUUGAACUGAUAUAAAGAGAUUAAUCAAGCUUUAUUCAAGAGUGGAAGUGAUGGAAAUGAUUCAGUUUCUCAACUCCAAAGACCUUCACCUAACAGAGCACUUCUGAAGUUCUUGACAUCAACAUCAGAGCCAUGAGAAGUGAAAGUCAAAGUGGACAUUUGACUUAAAAGCAAUGACAUAAACAAUGUCAUAAAAGUAGCUCUGGAGUGCAGCAUUACUAGUUUGACCAUCUUCAUACAGAUAAAACACAAAACAUUUAAGUUUUAAAAUGUAAUUUAGAGCGAUACCAAUUUAUUUGUUAUUAAUUACUCUGCAUACUGACAGCAGGUCUAUUACAUGUUUCACAUACUUGCAGGGAUCAGCACAUCCAUCCUCAACCUGAUGUUUCAUAUGGUGUCCAGACCCCUCAGAGAGUGCAGAGAGUUGGCAUCAAACUGAUGACAUGGUGAUGACCGAAGAAACCAGUCAGACCAGUGGCAACAAAAUUAUUCUGUAUCUGCCCCAGUGCUAAAAUUGUUGUACAGUUUUUCAUUGGUCAUUUGUUUUUAUUUAUUUAGAUUUUUACUUGUUUAUUAAUCUUACUUUUGGUUAUUUACUUAUGGUUAUAAUGUUAACUUAUAGUUCAUGUUAAAUUAUUUAAUGUUUGAUUUUUAUACAAUCAUUUUACUACUGAUUAACUUUGAGCUUAUUAUUACAAACUUAUGGAUUUAUUAAGCCAAUUCUCCUAAC